UAUAGAGCUGGCUGGGUUCUGUGCAUCGGCAGGACAGAGAAGCUACGUCUGGUAAGACGAGGGGCGGGGGUUUGUAUCUAUUUGUCAAUAACAGCUGGUGACCGAUGUCUAAUAUUAAAGAGGUCUCCAGGUAUUGCUCGCCUGAGAUAGAGGACCUUGUUAUAAGCUGUAGACCACACUAUCUACCAAGAGAGUUCUCAUUUAAAUUAUUCGUAGCCGUCUAUUUACUACCACAAACCGAUGCUGGCAGUAAGACCAGCAUGUCACGUGCAACCAGAGGAAAGAAACUCUAAACCACUUUUACUCCACACACAGAGACGCAUACAAAGCUCUCCUUCGCCCUCCAUUUGGUAAAUCUGACAAUAAUUCUAUCCUCCUGAUUCCUGCUUACAAGCAAAAACUAAAGCAGGAAGCACCAUUUUACUGCAUUCUACAAUACGUAUAUUAUAAAGAUAUCCCUCUCUGGAUCUCACUCCUCUCUCUCCAUCAGAGCCACUUCAUUUCCUGUGGCGUCACAUCCUAAUAAUUCUAACCCCCAUGAUUCCUGCUUACAAGCAAAAACUACAGUGACUCAGAUAAUACGGAAAUGGUCAGAUGACGUGGAUGCUACGCUACAGGUCUGUUUUGCUAGCACAGACUAUGUUCUGGGAUUCAUCCAAUGGCAUUGAGGAGUUUACCACCUCAGUCAACGACUUCUUCAAUAAGUGCAUCAACGACUUCACCCCCAAAGUGACCGUACGUUGAUAUCCCAACCAGAAGCCAUGGAAUUACAGGUAACAUCCGCAUCGAGCUAAAGGCUAUAGCUGCCACUUUCAAGGAGCGGGACAGUAAUCCAGACGCUUACAAGAAAUACCGCAUCGCCCUCAGACAAACCAUCAAACAGUCAAAGCGUCAAUACAUAAUUAAGAUUGAAUCCUACUACACCGGCUCUGACGCUAGUCGGAUGUGGCAGGGCUUGAAAACUAUUACAUUUUACAUUUACAUUUUAGUCAUUUAGCAGACGCUCUUAUCCAGAGCGACUUACAGUAGUGAAUGCAUACAUUUCAUUAAAAAAAAUGUUUUCUUCCGUACUGGUCCCCCGUGGGAAUCGAACCGACAACCCUGGCGUUGCAAACACCAUGCUCUACCAACUAAGCUACACGGGACUGGGACUACGAAGGGAAAUCCAGCCGUGAGCUGCCCAGUGACGAGGGCCUACCAGACGAGCUACAUGCCUUUUAUGCUCGCUUCGAGGCAAGCACUUGUUAAAUCUACCUCAAAAGGCUAAAGAUGGAUUUUCCACACUCUACAGUUUCCCAUGUGUAUCAAGCACAGGAGGUUGGUGGCACCUUAAUUGGGGAUGACGGGCUUGUGGUAAUGGCUUCUGUGGAAUGAGUGGAAUAGUAUCAGGUAUUCCAUUUGUACCAUUUUAGCCAUUAUAAUGAGCUGUCCUCCCCUCAGCAGCCUUCACUGGUAUCAAGAAUUGUCCACCACCGAAAGGACAUCCAGCCAACUUGAAACGACUGUGGAAAUUGAAGUCAACAUGGGCCAACAUCCCUGUGGAAUGCUUUCGACACCUUGUAAAGUCUAUGCCUCGACGAAUUGAGGCUGUUCCGAAAGGCAAAAUGGGGUGGGGGAGGUGCAACUAAAUAUUUAAGGAAGCUGUUCCUAAUGUUUGGUUUACUCAGUGUGUAGCCCUAAAUCAAUGAAGUAGCAUUUUACUGCAUUCUACAGUACGUAUAUUAUAAAGAUAUCCCUCUCUGGAUCUCUCUCCUCUCUUUCCAUCAGAGCCACUUGAUUUCCUGUGGCGUCACAUCCUCACUGUGUUUGUCCUACUGGCUACCUGUGGACUAAUUAUACACUAUGUCAUCUCCCAUCAAUGCCCUAAAGUACAUCUGUCUUUUCAGCUGUUCCAAAGAGAAGCAGGAGGGUGGACCAGAGCAAUGAAGACUUUCGUUGACAGUGUGCUAAAUCACUGUGCUAAAUCACUGUGCAUACCUACAAACAUACACGCACGCACACACACACACAAACUUAUUUUUACAUUUAAAAAUAUAUAUAUUUGACGUUUUAUGCAUCUUUGAGAUUUCUGUGAUUUUUCUUUUCAAAUUGAGUGUAUGAUAGUGUUGCUUGGCAAGUUGAAAACUUAAUGUACAAAGUGUACAUACAUACAUUGACUGUACAAAACAUUAAGAACACCCUCCCCCCAGUUUGAAGUAAGUUACUAACUGGCGUUAGGGGCAUGGACUCUACAAGGUGUUGAAAGCGUUCCACAGGGAUGCUGACUCCAAGGCUUCCCACAGUUGUGUCAAGUUGGAUGGCUGUCCUUUGGGUGGUGGACCAUUCUUGAUACACACGUGAAACUGUUGAGUGUGAAAAACCCACCAGCGUUGCAGUUCUUGACACAAACCGGCCUGGCACCUACUACCAUACCCCGCUCAAAAGGCACGUAAAUAUUUUGUUUUUCCCAAUCGAUGUCUCAAUUGUCUCAAGGCUUAAAAAUCCUUCUUUAAUCUGUCUCCUCCCCUUCAUCCACAAUGCUUGAAGUGGAUUUAACAAGUGACAUAAAUAAAGGAUCAUAACUUUCACCUGAAUUCACCUGGUCAGUCUUUGUUAUGGAAAGAGCAGGUGUUCAUAAUGUUUUGUUUUGUAAACUCUGUGUAUAUACAUACACACAAACAUACAUACAUUUGCACACAUACAAUUUUUUAUGAUUUUUUUAUUUUUUUUAUUUCACCUUUAUUUAACCAGGUAGGCAAGUUGAGAACAAGUUCUCAUUUACAAUUGCGACCUGGCCAAGAUAAAGCAAAGCAGUUCGACAACAUACAAAAACACAGAGUUACACAUGGAGUAAAACAACAUACAAUCAAUGAUACAGUAGAAAAAUAAGACUAUAUACAAUGUGAGCAAAUGAUGUGAGAUAAGGGAGGUAAAGGCAAAAAAAGGCCAUGGUGGCAGAGUAAAUACAGUGUAGCAAGUAAAACACUGGAAUGGUAGAUUUGUUAUUUGAAGAAAGUUCAAAGUUAAAAUAUAAAUAAUAUGGUGCAAAGGAGCAAAAUAAAUAAAAUAAAUAAAUACAGUAGGGGAAGAUGGUAGUAGUUUGGGCUAAAUUAUAGAUGGGCUAUGUACAGGUGCAGUGAUCUGUGAGCUGCUCUGACAGCUGGUGCUUAAAGCUAGUGAGGGAGAUAAGUGUUUUUAACACCGUUUUAUGCAAUCAAGUGUCCGUUCUAUAAUCUUUGUUGAAAUUGACUGCAUGAUAGUGUUG
rnacentral:lncRNA from 1 species